GGGUGGUGUUGGAAGCACCUUUUUUUUUUGCACUACAUGACUGUUUUCACGAAGUGACGGUAGUGAGCAAAAUCGCAUAUAAUUUCACUUUCGAUUUUUUUGCAUUUUUGGACAUCAUCCACUAACAUCUUGAACCUCAAAAAAUUUCAGACCGUAAUCACUAUGACGAUGACGUAAACAAGAAAAUACCGUAGCAAAAGGAUUUUCUGUUUUCACGAAGUGACGGCCAAGUACGCGCUUAACAGCCGUCAAUUCGUGAAAACAUCGUUUGCCCUUUCCUGCUUUUAAUAUUUUCACGAAGUGACGGUAGUGAACAUUUCGCAGUUUGGAACAGUCACAGACCAUGAAAAGUUUCAGAUGCAGUAGAUACAAUUUGCACUUAUAUGAAGGAAGCACUGGGAAAGUACAUCUACUUUUCAAGAAUGCCACAGGCCAGAAACAAAUCCAGAUUGGAUACAGAGACCGACAUGCUGGGAAGAUGGGUCCUUGAUAAUUCACUGAACACAGAGCUGGGAUUGUGGCUUGGCAUAGUGACCUAAGAGUGGGAGCGGUAUGGAACCGUUGAAGCAAUUCACCGAACAUGUACAGUCAGAGCUGCAUGUGUGACUUGGCAUGGUGACCCUUAAAGUCUCCUGACGGCUCCGAUUGCGAUUCUGAUGAUGACCCAUUGUCUAUGCUUCUGAGCGAGUCAAAAGUCUAGAUAAAGGAUCUUCGCUGCUUCAACCCCUAUUGCUUGGAUGACAUACGUGUGAAGAAACUUGAAGAACUGUUGUUGAAGAGCUAGAAUCAAUUACAUGAUCGUUUUGACAAUGCUUCAAUGUUUCAAUACCUCAAUCUCUCUUUUAUACUGUUUUAUUUUAAACAUUUUAAAUAUCAUAAACAAAGCAAACACCACUCAUAAUUGUAAUUGUGUGUUGUAAUCGCAAUGAAAUGGAUUGAUUAUAAAAUCAAUGAAUUGAUUUAAAGCAAACUGGUAACAUUGUCCAUGAUUUCUGAAACAAUGAACUGAAUAGUCGUACAGGUGUCAGUUUUCUGUUACAGUAUUGCAAUGAACUUCUGCACACAUAAAUCUUUAUUAUUCAAAUGUAUAGCUCAGAACAGCUAUUUAUCAGGUAUACCUACCUCAAUCAGUAAUGCAUAUUAAGUUUUCGAUUCCAGUUCCAUGAAUCCUCAUAUCGUAUCUUUGUAUUGAAGAAUUUGUUUAUCUACUUUCUUUAAAUGUUUGUAUUCACAGGGGUUGAUGCCUUCAUUAGAACAUGAAUAUAAGUUACAUUUCCACAAUUGAUUUUUCUUUCAAAACACAACACAAUGUUACUAGUUCACAUUUAAUGUUUUUAUUUUUACUUCUAUAGUCAUUCUCAUCAUAAUUGUAUUUGGUACUUCAAACUAUCUUAUAAUCAUACAAUAUAAUGUUGCUGUUUUAAAUUUUAUCUGUUUGAUGAGAAAUGAAAUUGUUUAGUCAAAUUGAUAUUUCCAUGUUUAUCAUGCAUUGUUCAGCUGAUAAUUGUUUAGUCAGAGAUUACGUGUUUGCCUGGGUGAAGACAACCUUUUAGCAUUGGUAAACUUUGUAGCGUUUGAGACUGUGUACUAAAUUUUAUUGAAAUACCCUAGAAAGAGAUUGUGUAAACUGACUUGCUUCUGAAACUCUACUCACAAGAUAUUAAUGAAAAACAGUAAUGAACAAAAAAGUAAUGAUGAUGAUUAUAUUAGUCAUAUUUCCCAUUGAAAAAACUGUGCCAUCUUUUUUUUUCAAGAACUGCCUCGUUUUGUUACGAUCAACAUGUAAACCUUUCAGCCAGAACAGGAUAACCAUGGCGUGCAAGAAAGAGACUAUACCACACAGUACUGUUUUGAAUACCUCUUUUGUCUUCAGGUAAAAAAAAAUCUGUGCAGAUGAACCUUUAAAAAAAAGAGUUUAUUUAGCAACCAGUAUAUUUCAGCAUGCUAAUGAUGUAAAAUUUCUUAUUCAUUUUGUUUUGGAAUGGUAUUUUGAAUAUAGAUUUAUUUCUUUGUUGACUUCAUCAUACAUGUAGUAUGUGGCAUUUAUUUGCUAUGAUUGCUGAAUAAACAUGAUAACCAGGACAUGUAUGAAGAAUAAGUUAAAGACAUUUUUAGCAUAUUUAGUACUGUAUAAUGUGCUAAAUAACCUUUGUAUUCCGUGGCUGUAUACCUGAUGAGUCUUUUCCACAAAUCCCUAAAUGUACAUUUCAAAAUGCAAUAUAGUAUUGAUGAUAAUUGAUGAUGAUAUGUUUGGUAUGAAUUAUUUAAUAUUUUUAAUUUAUUCUCCAUUUGCCACUUGCUGUUCUGGUUCCAAAUGUUUGAAUUAAAACUGCUCAGUCGAAAUUCA